UGCAGCUCCAGCCCAUAUUGCAUUUCAGGUGGUACGUAGCUGUAGCGCUUUGGAAAAGGACCAAUGUGCUCUGACAGUCUCUUUUACUGUCCAUUGUCUGCGGGUGCAGGAUGACAGCCCCGCGUUAAAGCAUGGUGAAGAUAAGCUCCAGAUCCAAUUCAGGAUGGGGCUGUUUUCUAAUGAAACAAAGGGAUUACACGAGCACGGGUGAACGACAGAGAUGGGAAGUAGAGGCAGCAAAUGAAAGCUCUGCGAGGGAACGGCGGAGUGGCGGAAAAGGAGGAAGAGAAGACGAGUCGGAGACAGAGGGGCUGUGAUGGCUGAUGUGUGCAGGCAGGUCGAGCUGGAGCCACUGCAGCCGUGUGCACCCACCCAUCCCCACCCACACUCCUCCACCCCUCCGCCCCCUCUCUUGCUUGUUCACUCAUUUGCUUAACAAGUUCAUUUGUGCGUGGGCUUGCAUCAGGGUAUGGCUGUCAAGUGAUGCGCGAGACUGGCCUGCGGGAACUGUUGGCCCUCGCAAGCUGUUCACCUGCAUCCCUCUCACCCCUGCCCACCCUCCCACUCACUCACACACACUCACACACACGCACACACAUGUCUGUUGUAUGAGUAAAUGGUUUGUAAAUUCUAGUUCAAGCUGCAAUAUUUCCAAGAUAUCAGCUGCGGAGCUGAUACUGAAAUAGUUUGAAGGUUUGUUUAGCUGAUUGCAGAGCAGAAUAACAGUUUACUGCUAGCUGAUUAACUUAAAAUUUGAGAUUAAACUAUGUCAUUGAUCAAGAAAAAUGCCAAACAUCUUGUAAUUGAAGCUCAAAUUUGACAAUUUCCGAAAUUCUGGUGACUUAUUUGAAGGUAAACCAAAGGUAAUUGGGUUUUAGAUUGUUGCUCAGCCAAAUAAAGUAUUAGGAAGACGUCACAUUGGAGUUUGUGAUGGUCCUAUUUCCUGUAUGGAGGCUUCAAAGACUCAUUUUUCUAGUCUUGAUGACAACUCAAAGCUCUUUACAUGCAGUGUUCCCAUUCAACCAUUCACACAGGGUUCGGGGUUCAGUGUCUUGCCCAUUGGCCCUUCGGCAGGCAGAAUGGGGGAGAUUGGGAUUGAACAGUCGACCCUCUGGUUUGUGGACGACCAGCUCUAACCCUGAGCCAUAGCCAAGUCAUAUACCAAAUCAGCUUGACCUUUGAAGACGACAAGUCCAAGUCACUUAUUAUUUUGUUCCAUGACAACCUCCCACUCUCUGUAUUGCUUGUGUCAUAGAUCAAUAAGUGGAGAAAAUCUGAUAUUAAAAAAUAAAGACAUUUCAUAUAAA